rnacentral:rRNA from 1 species
UCGCGUCCAAUUAGCUAGUUGGUGAGGUAACGGCCCACCAAGGCGACGAUUGGUAGCCGGACUGAGAGGUUGAACGGCCACAUUGGGACUGAGACACGGCCCAGACUCCUACGGGAGGCAGCAGUGGGGGAUAUUGCACAAUGGGGGAAACCCUGAUGCAGCGACGCCGCGUGGAGGAAGAAGGUUUUCGGGUUGUAAACUCCUGUCGUUAGGGACGAUAAUGACGGUACCUAACAAGAAAGCACCGGCUAACUACGUGCCAGCAGCCGCGGUAAAACGUAGGGUGCAAGCGUUGUCCGGAAUUACUGGGUGUAAAGGGAGCGCAGGCGGACCGGCAAGUUGGAAGUGAAAACUAUGGGCUCAACCCAUAAAUUGCUUUCAAAACUGCUGGCCUUGAGUAGUGCAGAGGUAGGUGGAAUUCCCGGUGUAGCGGUGGAAUGCGUAGAUAUCGGGAGGAACACCAGUGGCGAAGGCGACCUACUGGGCACCAACUGACGCUGAGGCUCGAAAGCAUGGGUAGCAAACAGGAUUAGAUACCCUGGUAGUCCAUGCCGUAAACGAUGAA